rnacentral:rRNA from 1 species
AGGACGAACGCUGGCGGCGUGCUUAACACAUGCAAGUCGAGCGGAAAGGCCCUUCGGGGUACUCGAGCGGCGAACGGGUGAGUAACACGUGAGCAACCUGCCCUUAGCUUCGGGAUAGCUCCGGGAAACCGGAAUUAAAUACCGAAUAUGAAUGCGGCUGACAUCAGCCACAUUGGAAAGUUUUUCGGCUAGGGAUGGACUCGCGGCCUAUCAGCUAGUUGGUGAGGUAACGGCCCACCAAGGCGACGGACGGGUAG